rnacentral:rRNA from 1 species
UACGAAGGGGGCUAGCGUUGCUCGGAAUCACUGGGCGUAAAGCGCACGUAGGCGGACUCUUAAGUCGGUGGUGAAAUCCUGGAGCUCAACUCCAGAACUGCCUUCGAUACUGGGAGUCUUGAGUCCGGGAGAGGUGAGUGGAACUGCGAGUGUAGAGGUGAAAUUCGUAGAUAUUCGCAAGAACACCAGUGGCGAAGGCAGCUCACUGGCCCGGUACUGACGCUGAGGUGCGAAAGCGUGGGGAGCAAACAGG